GCCGGGCGUGGUGGCGGGCGCCUGUAAUCCCAGCUACUCAGGAGGCUGAGGCAGAAGAAUGGCUUGAACCCAGGAGGCGGAGGUUGCAGUGAGCCGAGAUCGCGCCAUUGCACUCCAGCCUGGGUGACAGAGUGAGACUUUGUCUCAA
rnacentral:SRP_RNA from 1 species